CCUCCCCAAAUCCCCUCCCCUGACCUUCCCCGAUCGCCGCCGCUGCCUCCCUCCCUGAAUCGCGCCGCCGCCGCCAUCCUCCCGGGAUAGCGUUGCUGUCGCCGCCACCCUCCCUGGUUCGCGCCUCCGCCGCCUCCCUCCCUGGAUCACAACGCCGUCGCCCACCACUCCCGCGACACACCUCCGCCGCCACCCACCCUGUCCCCGACGCGCCUGCAGCCUUCCGCGCGGAUCCGGUCGGGGCCGGCGAGAUCCACGCGGCCGACCACAAGUUCUGCACUAUCCCACGACAUCCAUCCAACGAGAUCGACUGAUUUCAACAAAAUCAGUCCAUCGCCACCCGCGCACGGCUUGGAUUCUGCACGUCGCCGCCAUGAGAUGCAGUCUACUAGCUCACCUCUGCCACCAUGCCUCCUCACCUCUGCCAUCGAUGGUCGCCACUGUGCUCAAGGUCUCUUGUACAUGCCAUGGCCUGGGGCCCCAACCCCUUAUGCUACAGGAUCCUGGGGUCGCCGCUGGACCCGUCGCCGUCAGCCUCCCCGACCUUCUCUGGUUACUUGGACAGGACUGCCCUUGCCAUUGAGCGCGACCAGUGCAUGUAUUUCGUCCACGACCAAGCCACUGUGUUCAUCUUCAGUUCUGCGCCGACCAGUUGCAUAAUAGUAGCGGUUCAGGAAAGGAUGCAGGCUUCCACAGGGUGCUUGAAAAAUGCCACUUUCCCAAUCUCGUCUCUGUCUGAGCACGAAGCCACCGCUGCCCGUCAGUGCUUGGUCAACGACCGACCGAACAACUCUUCCCUCUCCACCACGAGAAGUUCGUCACCUCACGCGCGAGCAGUCCAUCUAUCGCCUCCCGUGCAAGCACUCCAUCACCUCACACAGUGUCCGUUCGACAGAGUUUGUCCUUUUGAAGAAGCAGAAAAUGGAGUUUGAAGCGGCCGCGGGCAGGUGGUGGCGUGGUUGUAGAAGAAGCGCUGGUGCGAACUCGUCCAUCCGGCGCUAGUAUACCAGUAUGAUUUGGAGGCGAAGAAUUUGUUGUGUCUCUUACCAUGAAUCUCUGUAGCUAUGGAAACUUGGCUUCCUGUAAAUUUUUAAGAUA